rnacentral:lncRNA from 1 species
GUUUGAGGAGUGCAUUAAAGAUUGUGACACUGCUGUUGAAAGGGGAAGAGAACUCAGAUCAGACUUCAAGAUGGUUGCAAAGGCUUUGACAAGGAAAGGAACUGCCUUGGUGAAAAUGGCUAAAUGCUCCAAGGACUACGAACCUGCUAUUGAGACAUUUCAGAAAGCUUUGACAGAGCAUCGUAACCCAGAUACUCUAAAAAAACUUAAUGAUGCUGAGAAAGCAAAGAAAGAUCUAGAGCAACAGGAGUACUUUGAUCCGAAAAUAGCAGACGAGGAGCGUGAGAAAGGUACUAUUAUAUUUCUGUUUACCGUGGGGUUACUCACAGUAUACUACUUUUAAUUAUGAUCUGUUGCAUGUGGUUAACGGAUUACAUGUUUUACCAGGCAACGAAUUUUUCAAACAGCAGAAGUAUCCUGAAGCAAUUAAGCAGUACACAGAAUCACUGAGAAGAAAUCCAAAGGAUCACAAGGUUUGUCAUAACGAAUUCCAUUAUUACUCUUGUUCAUGAGUUAUGGAGUAUGUGAAAUAAUUUUGAUGUAUGUUUGACCCCAACAUGUUACUGAUUUGUGCAGGCUUACAGUAACAGAGCAGCUUGCUAUACAAAACUUGGCGCACUGCCUGAGGGAUUGAAGGAUGCAGAAAAGUGUAUUGAGCUUGAUCCCACAUUUGCCAAGGGAUAUACCAGAAAAGGUGCUGCACAGUUUCUCAUGAAAGAUUAUGAUAAAGCUUUGGAAACAUAUCAAGCAGGGUUGAAACACGAUCCACACAACCAAGAAUUGUUGGAUGGUGUUAAGAGGUAUAUUAUCGUAUUUGGCUAUUGAUGAAAGUGCAUCAUCAUUUUUUAACUGUAUUGAACAUUUACUGAUUGCUGCAUCAAUUGUUUCCCAGGUGUGUCGCUCAAAUUAAUAAGGCCAGCCGCGGUGAUUUAACUCCUGAGGAAUUGAAGGAGCGGCAGGUAUAUGCCUAAUUUUGUUAUGUUACACAGAUUGUGCAUGUCUGUUUUUUAUAAAUUAGGAAUCUCAUGUCAAUAUUUAAAAAUUGGGUUAAUAAUCAAGUGAGUCACCAAAUUGGGCUUGAUAUAUCAAGUUGGUCACCGAACUCAAAACGGUCUCAAAUUGGUCACUCAAGUUAGUUAUAUGUAUCUGUAAAUAUGAAUUCAAAGAGUAAAGAUAUUAUUUAUAGAGGUUUAAAUAUUAUUUUUGAAUGUUACCACAACUAAAUACAAGAUUAUGACUUCUCGUAUUUAUGAAAAUAUAUUUAGAUUUUAUCAAGUUUAUUUACUAUUUAUUUUUUAUUAUAUAGUUAUUUUCUUUAUUUUAAUUAUAAAUAUAUAAUAAAUAAACUUGAUAAAUCUGAAUAUAUUACCAUAAAUAUCAGAAGUCAUGAUCUUAUACUUAGUUCUGGUAACAUUCAAAAAUAAUAUGUAAACCUCUAUAAAUAAUAUAUUUACCCCUUCAACUUAUAUUUACAGAUACAUAUAACUUGACUUGAGUGAUCAAUUUGACACCGUUUUGAGUUCAGUGACCAACUUGAUAUUUUGAGCCCACUCUAUAAUAAAAAAAUUAAAAAAUAAUAGAGCUCGAGCUCGGCUCGAUAAAACAUCCAAAUAGCUCGACCUUUUUCUACAAUACGAUCACCCCAUAGGUUUAAAAAGACUGGUUUAGAUAGCAGUGCAAUACUUUUUCUUUAUGAAACCUUUGCACUCUUCUGAGAAUAUGAGAACUGACUUGGAAUUGUAACAUGCAAAGGUGUUUGUAGUAAGCAAAUAGGACAUGAAAUUGCAACUCGUAAGUGAUAAAAGUUUUUUUUUUUUUUUAAACACGUAAGUGAUAAAAGUUGAUUAUAUGCGAGAUGCAUCUUCCAUAUUUCCCGCCUAAAAUUUUCUCUUGUCAGGAUUUGCCCACUUAAAUUUUAGCAUAGAGAACCUAUUUUACAAAAUUUAAGCGAACAUUUUUAUUUUUUUCAGAAAAGAAGCUAAUCCAAUAUAUUUCUCUUAACCAUGGUUUUUUGUUAAUGAUCUUAACGCCGAUUUUUUUUCAUUAUUACAUUAAAAAUUAGAUUAAAAUUUUAUAAUAUAAAAUAAUAUCUAAACAUAAAGAAUUCAAUAUACAAAAUUUGUUGAUUAUUAAUCGAACGAGAGCUUCCACAAUACUUACCAAUAAAUCCAUCUUAUUUCCAAAUUUCGAUACUAUUUAAGUAAUCCAAUCAUGUAAAUUUUAAUAUAUUUUAUAUGAGAUCAAUACUUAUAUCUUAUUGAUAUAAUACUACAUAUGAAUUCCUGUUGAAUUUAAAACUAAAUUUUACUAUUAUCACAAUUUAUAAUUUUCUUAUAAUUUCAACUACAUAUAGAUUUGUUAUUUCUUCAUAUUAAUAUUUUCAUUAUUAAGCGCAUUCAUCGUUAGAAAAUUUAAUUUUAAUAUUAUAUCAAUAUAAUUUUUGUAUAUAAAUAACCUUACAAACUUAUCACUGUGCUUUCUCUCCCUAGAACAUUCUUCUCUCUAUUCUCUUUGUUUAGUAGUUUUACCUUUUCCAAUUUGAAUUCUAAUUCCAAAAUCUAAACACAACUAGAACAUUCCAGAAAUAAAACCCUCUAGCCCCUCAGUCCCUCACUAUAAAAACACUUAUCUUCAUCUUCCCCACGAAAUCAAUUAAAAUCCAAAUAAUAAACCACGCUCGGCAACAAUUUUACUGAUUAAUCAUCGAUGGCUGAUGAAGCUAAAGCCAAAGGCAACGCCGCUUUCGCCGCCGGCAACUAUUCUGACGCGAUCAAGCACUUCUCCGACGCGAUCACCUUGUCUCCGGCCAAUCAUGUUCUCUACUCCAACCGAUCGGCUGCUUACGCUUCGAUUAACAAUUUCUCCGAAGCUUUAGUGGAUGCGAAAAAAACGGUGGAGAUCAAACCGGACUGGGCUAAGGGAUACUCUCGGCUCGGCUCGGCUCAUCUCGGACUCCACAAUUAUGUCGAAGCUAUCGAGGCGUACAAGAAAGGUCUUGAAUUGGAUCCGAAUAAUGAGGCUUUGAAAUCCGGGUUAUCCGACGCGGAGACCCGGGUUAGGACCCGACCCGGUUUUGGCAAUCCGACCCGGCCCGGGGCGAGUCCGUUCGGGGACGCGUUCGGGCCGGAGAUGUGGGCGAAAUUGACGGCGGAUCCGACGACGAGAGCGUUCCUCCAGCAGCCUGAUUUCGUGAACAUGAUGAAAGAGCUUCAGAAGAACCCGAGCAAUUUGAAUUUGUACUUGAAGGAUCCCAGGGUUAUGCAAGCGCUAGGAGUUUUGCUUAAUAUCAAGCUUUCGACACGAGGAAGUGAUGAUAAGGGUGUAGAGAUGUAUGACGUAUCCUCGGAGAGGAAGAGGCCUGCGGAGGAGGAACCGGUGAAUGUGAAGGAGAAGAAGCGCGAGGCGGAGCCAAUGCAGGAGGAGGUGGAGGUUUCAGAGGAGGAGAGGGAGAAAAAGGAGAGGAAGGAGAAGGCGCGGAAGGCGAAAGAGGAGGGUAAUGUGGCGUAUAAGAAGAAGGAUUUCGAGACGGCGAUUAGGUGUUAUAGUGAGGCGAUUGAGUUGGAUGAUGAGGAUAUUUCGUUUGUUACUAAUAGGGCUGCGGUUUAUCUGGAGAUGGGGAAGGUAUGUUGCUAAUGCUUCAAUCUUUAUUUAUACAUUAUGUAUUAAAAAUUGUACAGCAUGUUUUUGUUGAAUGUGUUUUGGUGCUAUCCUUUACUUGAUAUUGAGAUAAUUCAAGUUAAUAUAAGUUCCACAGGUUAAUUUGAUGUUUAUUUUGCGAUUGUGAUGCCUGUUGUCUUUAGCGUAGGAUUAUUUUCUCUUCUGUUGUGUUCAUGUAUGCAGAGGUGUAAUUUAGGAUAAUGGUAAAAGUAGCUGAAUUUUAAAAGGUUAGGAAUGUUGGGGAAGAAUUAUAAUUUAGCAUGACUUUUACAGGGACCAUCCUGAUAUACAAGUUUUUCUUUGUAGCUAGAUUACGACAUAACAUAUGAGUAGGUCAUUUGCAAAAGAAGUUGAUGCUUUUGAUCGCUUUACUACAUAAUGAAAAUUUUGGAUCCAAUUCUUUUGUCUUAUAUAUAUGAUUAAGUUGUGCAUUUUAUUUUUGUUUGAUUAUUGUCUACUAUUAUAUUAUAUAUAUAUUUAUAUGCUAUAUAUCUUAUUUUUCAAUAUGACAUAUUCAUUUAUGUGCUGAUAUUAGAGCAUAUAUUUCACUUUACAAUUAAGAUCUGUAUCUAACUAGUUGGUAACUAAUGCCACCAGUUUGAGGAGUGCAUUAAAGAUUGUGACACUGCUGUUGAAAGGGGAAGAGAACUCAGAUCAGACUUCAAGAUGGUUGCAAAGGCUUUGACAAGGAAAGGAACUGCCUUGGUGAAAAUGGCUAAAUGCUCCAAGGACUACGAACCUGCUAUUGAGACAUUUCAGAAAGCUUUGACAGAGCAUCGUAACCCAGAUACUCUAAAAAAACUUAAUGAUGCUGAGAAAGCAAAGAAAGAUCUAGAGCAACAGGAGUACUUUGAUCCGAAAAUAGCAGACGAGGAGCGUGAGAAAGG